UCCUGGUUAGCUCAGUUGGUAGAGCGCUCGACGGGAAAUGAAGAGGUUCCUGGUUCCGUUCCAGGACCAGGCG
rnacentral:tRNA from 1 species